CUCAGUKGGUAGAGCAGAGGACUGAAAAUCCUCGUGU
rnacentral:tRNA from 1 species